CAGCGCACCACGCGAGCGAAAAAACCACCGCACCACGCUCGUCGCGUGAUAAAAGGUGAGCGGGCAGCAGACCUAGCCCACCCCGCGACCCUCGUUCCUCAUGCGCCGCCGCCGCCGCCCCCCGCCCGCGAUGGAGAAAGUGAGAGGAAAGAGGAGAGGGAGGUGAGGCAGCAGACAGGAGAGGGUCACCGGCUGCUGUCGGCCUGCGCCGGCGAGGUCGGGCGCGACCUGGCGGUUGGUGGCGGCUCGAUCCGCUCCUGGAUCGGGAGAGGAGGAAGGGAGGUGGGGGGCCGGCCGUCUCUGUGCCUCCUCGACGCCGAGCUGCGGCUGCUCCGUGUGUGCGCGCUCUCUCUCUCUCUCUCUCUCUCUCUCUCUCUCUCUCUCCGGGCUCGCCGGGUCGCCGCCCCUCACGCCGCGCUGGCUAGGGGCGAGAAGGCGGAGGCAGGAGCGGCUGCUUCGGGCCCCGAUCUGGGGAGGGUACGAGGCAGGGAAGGACGCCGUCCCUUUCAUUCUCUCUCUGAUUCGUCCUCUUCCCUCUUUCCAUCCCUCCUGCUCGCCAGCGGUUCCUCCUCCCCUGCCUCCUCACGUCGCCCUCAAGUCCGAGGCAACGAGUUUGCUUCCUCUGCUCCGUUCAUGUCAUUGAGCUUUUUCCUUGGGCAUAGCACCACAUUUGCGGCAGCACACCGGAGUCAAUUUGGUUGACUAGCAAUAGAGCAAAGGUGAGAGUAAAAUCAGGUCUUCACCUAUGGAGGAGGUAGAUACUGACGGAGUGCAUAUGACCAGGUGUCCUCCAGGUUCUGCAUCAUCAGUGUGUACCUCUAGAUUCUGCAUCAUUAGUGAGCAACUUACCUAAGCAACCGAGCCCAAUCAACAAUUGGUAGAAGUAGUUAUGAGAUGAGGCAGAGGAGAGCAGAGAGGACCGGAGAAGGAGUUGCAGACCUCGCCAACAAGGCCGUGACCCUACAUCACUAAAAAAAUGCGCCGUAUUUGUUUCUCAUGCUUUACCAUGGCAUGUUCUUAUUAGUUCAGGUUGGUCUCUCCGGUUCUUUUCGCCAAUGGCUUGAUGUACGCACUGGCAACCUCUUACUGGAAGGAUUCGGCAUGCCUCUGUUCGAGAGAUGGGAUAUGAAGAAAUGGCGUUCUGUAGGUUGUCUUCAUGUCGCUGUUGUGCUACUGCUAGGCAUGAACAGAAUGGCCUCCUCUUAUUGCGAACCACACUGAUGUUGGCUUCUGAUUUCUGCUGUAAUGGAUUAUUUACUAUGGACAAAUAUGGCAAUAUUCAUUUGGAGCACCGUUUCUUGAGGAUAUGUCUCUUCUACAGGUAUGACAUUAUCAUUGGAACGUAUACUAUGUCUAUUUGAUAUAUCUAUGACUAUAUCCUUCCAAAGAAUAUUUAUUUUUGUAUUAUAUACUUUUUUUUCGAAAAGGGGGAGAUCCCCGGCCUCUGCAUCAGAACGAUGCAUACAUGAUAUCGGUACUUUUUAUAACUGAUCCAUGUUCUUGGAAUACUUUAUUUUAUUUCAUUAAUAAGCAAGGGUGGAUGGUGGCUUGCAGUGUGCUUGUACUAAAAAAGGUGUUCUGCCAUCCCAUGAAUUCUAGCACAGCUUGAAGCGGCCAAGUCAAGGAGGACCUAUAAAAUUAUUUGAUCGUCUCUCGCUCUCUCUCUCUCUCUAUAUAUAUAUAUAUGUUGUCUGGUGCAUGUAUGGCUGAGAAUAGGGAGAGAGAGCAAGUUUAAUUUUCCUUGGGCAUUCAAAUUCUUAUUUUGCUUUUCUCAGAUUUUUGGCUGGGUGUUUAAACAUACUUGCACACACUGGUUUCAGAUUUCAGUGUAAACUACAAAUAGGGGAAAAAUAUAGUGAUUUUUCCAAAUUAGAAAUAGGGAGAAGGGAAACUAUUGAUUAUUGUGUGCAUGUAUAACUAAUUGGAUUACUGGUUGAACGAGUGCAGACUUGAGAAAGAAGAGAUAGGGCCAAUAAAAUUAGGUGGGAGGUAUGCUGAUGGGUUCAUUUUAGCAUUACUAAUCGACCGCUUGGCAUCCUGAAGGUAUGAUGCAUAUUGCCUUGCUCUGAUUUGCUUAUUUGAAUGUGUUUGUGUACAUCAAAGUUCAUUUUGUUAUUUUUGCUCUUUGAGGGAUAUAGGAGGAGAGAUAUCUAUUGUUGAAAUUUGAUGAUAAAAAUAUAGCCAUUAUUGUUACAAGCAUUAUUGUUCCAGUUUUUUUUUAGUUAUUGAUUAUGCCAUUUUUCUUUCUGCCUUUGUAGCUGAAAGAUUAGCGAGACUGACUAAAUUCUAAACAUGUUCCAUGUGAGAGAAAUAGCAUGUUGAUUUCAUCUUGAAAUAAUCAUAGUUGAGGGAUGAGGUUCGUAACCGAGGGUCAUGUGCAGAGCUGGAGGAAGAAGUUGCGAGGCUUGAAACUCUGUGAAGGGCUCAGGGGCAGCAGUGAGGACAAUGCCUCUUUAGUUGUAAUUGUGAUACUCUUGAUGUGCAAUUAAACACUCAUGUGAUACUCCUUAUGCUAAAAUGUUGGUUGUUAGUACAGAGGUGGUGACAUUAUUUGGUUCUCUGGUAUUAAUUUCAUGAUUUGUGGUUAAUACAUGAUGUAAUACAAUCCACAUUGUAUUAUAUUUCCAGUUACAUCUUUUACUUACUCACUACUAACAUUCUUUCUAAUUUGCUUCUUGCGCCAUUGGCGCAACCG